UACGUGAGGUGGCAAGCGUUGUCCGGAUUUACUGGGCGUAAAGAGCGCGCAGGCGGUCGUUCAAGUCGAGUGUGAAAGCCCCCGGCUCAACUGGGGAGGGUCACUCGAUACUGAUCGACUCGAAGGGCAGAAGAGGGAAGCGGAAUUCCCGGUGUAGUGGUGAAAUGCGUAGAUAUCGGGAGGAACACCAGUGGCGAAGG
rnacentral:rRNA from 1 species